rnacentral:rRNA from 1 species
UGGGGAAUUUUGGACAAUGGGGGAAACCCUGAUCCAGCCAUCCCGCGUGUGCGAUGAAGGCCUUCGGGUUGUAAAGCACUUUUGGCAGGAAAGAAACGUCGCGGGUUAAUACCCCGCGAAACUGACGGUACCUGCAGAAUAAGCACCGGCUAACUACGUGCCAGCAGCCGCGGUAAUACGUAGGGUGCAAGCGUUAAUCGGAAUUACUGGGCGUAAAGCGUGCGCAGGCGGUUCGGAAAGAAAGAUGUGAAAUCCCAGAGCUUAACUUUGGAACUGCAUUUUUAACUACCGGGCUAGAGUGUGUCAGAGGGAGGUGGAAUUCCGCGUGUAGCAGUGAAAUGCGUAGAUAUGCGGAGGAACACCGAUGGCGAAGGCAGCCUCCUGGGAUAACACUGACGCUCAUGCACGAAAGCGUGGGGAGCAAACAGGAUUAGAUACCCUGGUAGUCCACGCCCUAAACGAUGUCAACUAGCUGUUGGGGCCUUCGGGCCUUGGUAGCGCAGCUAACGCGUGAAGUUGACCGCCUGGGGAGUACGGUCGCAAGAUUAAAACUUAAAUGAAUUGACGGGGGUCAUAGCUGUUUCCU